rnacentral:rRNA from 1 species
AAUCAACGCUGGCGGCGUGCCUAACACAUGCAAGUCGAACGCGAAAGUGGAGCAAUCCAUGAGUAGAGUGGCAAACGGGUGAGUAACACGUGGGUGACCUGCCUUCGAGUGGGGGAUAACCUUCCGAAAGGAGGGCUAAUACCGCAUGACAUCCCAUGUUUGGAUACAUGGAGAUCAAAGCCGGGGAUCGCAAGACCUGGCGCUUGAAGAGGGGCCCGCGUCCGAUUAGCUAGUUGGUGGGGUAAUGGCUCACCAAGGCUCCGAUCGGUAUCCGGCCUGAGAGGGCGGACGGACACACUGGAACUGAGACACGGUCCAGACUCCUACGGGAGGCAGCAGUGGGGAAUUUUGGACAAUGGGCGCAAGCCUGAUCCAGCCAUGCCGCGUGAGUGAAGAAGGCCUCGGUUGUAAG